GUCUUGUUGUGUUACUCUAGAACUCCUGGCCUCAAGUGAUCCUCCCUCCACAGCCUCCCAAAGUGCUGAGAUUACAGGUGUGAGCCACCGUGCCUGGCCUUAUUUUUAAACAUUUUAUACAUAUUGUGAUUACUCAACAAUAAUUUCCUCUCUCAGCUCCAUAAAUAUCCUAGAGAGAAAAGCUAGGUACCAAACGAAGCUUUGUGGGGAUCAAAGCCAGGUGAUAAUGGUCGUUGCCCUUCCCGCAGACCUGGGAAGGUCAGGAGGGGCUGACCAGGAGGGGAACGGGUCAAGGACAGCUGCUGCUGCAUGGAAGCUCAGAUUGCACAGAUGUGUUGUACAGAUUAUGCUGACCAUUCAGAGUCAGCCAUAAUCUGUACAACACUCCCCACCCUCUGUGUCUUGACUCUGGCUCUGCCAAUAGGUGCCAAAACCCCGAUUUGAGCUCCCUCUGCUGAACGGUGAUGAGAGAUGGGCUGGUGGUCAGGGCUGAUGGGACUAUGGUUCCUUCUCACCCCAUGCCACUCCCCUGUGUGAGCAUUGCCCAUUCCCCAUUCUCUCUGCAGGGACGCCGUCCUGCUCAGCCCACCUCAGGCAGGGCAGGAAGGGGAGACACUGGAGAGGCUCCCAGGAGCUCCCUGGGCCGGGCGCAGUGGCUCAAGCCUGUAAUCCCAGCACUUUGGGAGGCUGAGGCGGGUGGAUCACGAGGUCAAGAGAUCCAGACCAUCCUGGUCAACACGGUGAAAUCCCGUCUCUACUAAAAAUACAAAAAGUUAGCUGGGCACUGUGGCGCGUGCCUGUAAUCCCAGCUACUCAGGAGGCUGAGGCAGGAGAACUGCCUGAACUCAGGAGGCGGAAGUUGUGGUGAGCCGACAUGGCGCCAUUGCACUCCAGCGUGGGUAGCACGAGCGAAACUCCGUCUCAAAAAAAAAAAAAAAAGAAAAGAAAAAAAAAAUCUAUCUUUCUUAUGCCAUCAUUAUAAUGUCUUAAUUGCUAUUACAAUAUUCAAGUAAGUCAUGAAAUCAAGUAGUGUUAAGUCUUACAACUUUGUUCUUAUUUUUCAAAAGUUUUGGCUAUUCUAGGUCCUUUCUACUUCUAUAUACAUUUUAGGACCAAUUUCUCAAUUUCAAAAAAAAAUUCUUGCUGGAAUCUUGAUUUGGAUUGGGUUGUAGCUACAGAACAAUUUAGGAAGAAAAGACAUCUUAAUAUUGAGUCUUCUGAUCCAUUAGCAUGGUAUUUCUCUACAUUUAUUUAGCUCUGUUAAUUUCUCUCUUCAAUAUUUAAUUUUUUUCAGGUAUAGGUGUUGAACAUAUUUUGUUAAAUUUAUCCCUACUUAUUUCAUGUUUAAACAAUGUUAUUGAAAAUGGCAUUUUAAAGAUCUGAACUUACAUUUGUUUGUUGCAUUUAUAAAUACAAUUGACUUUUUAAAUUGAGACAUUAUUUCUUGAUGCUAUAAACAUGCUAGUAUGAUCAAGUGUCUCAUUUGUCUGGGAUUGUACCAUUUUUAACACUAAAAGUCCUAGGGAAAAAAAAGCCAAAAAGUUAAAAGGAGUAAAUUUUCCCUUGGGAAGAGAAAAGUCCAGGUUUUCAGUAAUUGAUACAGGAGAUUAGGGGAAAGGUACAGAGCCCACAUGGUAACCCCAGAAAUAGAGGCUGAAGGCAAAAGUGGGUUUAGUGCCAAAUGGACACAUUACCUUCCUUAGUGUCUGUUGCUGAGGACAACAAUCACGAUUUGCAGUACACCAUAGUGAAUCAUCCAUU
rnacentral:lncRNA from 13 species